GUGUAUGGAGAGAGAGAGAGAGCGCGCGCGCGCCCGAAGAGAGAGAAUCGGAGAUCGAGAUCCCAUUACGAAAGUACGGUAAGAAACCCUAGCUUUCUUCCAAACCCCUCUGUGCUUUCCCUCCCAUUUCUGGGGUUCUCUGCGAAAACCCUAAUUCCUUGCGAAACUAGGUUUUUCGCCAUUCACGAUCUAUCGCCUCGGAGGUCAAAUCCUCCGCAUGCGCUCUCUAGGGUUUCGGACUGUAAAGCCCUAGUCUGAAACAACCUUCGUCGUCGUGAAAACAAAUUAGGGUUUUGUUUUUUAUCAGAUCGGACUUGGUGUUUUUUGAUUUACAUGUAUGGCUUUGGUCGGGGGAGGUGGUGAUGGUUCACGAGAGAAGCACAGAUGGGCAGAGAGCAAGGUCUACACCAGAAAAGCGCACAACAAGGGCUCCAAAAAUGUUCCUCAACAACCCUCGUCUCAAACGCUAGCACCUGAAGAUGGAAACUCGUCCCAGCAGCAGCUUUUGACUCGUUUUGAUGCGGCGUCGGAUGAUUCCUCCAGUCUCAACCGGCGGCAAGUCGCCGUUCCAAACAGCCGUGACCCUCCGGCCGGGAACGGCUCGGUUAGGCCGGCUUUUCCCAGGUUGGAGAACCGGAUAACCAUAAAUCUAUCGUCGAGGUCAAAGCAGGAGAUGCGUGAGCUCCGGCGGAAGCUCGUGAAUGAGCUUGAUCAGGUUAGGAGCCUAGUGAAGAAGCUUGAGGCAAAGGAGCUGCAGCUUACUGGGUUCUCUGGUGGGGGUUAUAGUCACUCGCAGCUGUCGGCCAACGAUGCCAUAGAUAACGGCGGUGCAAAGAGAGUACACUCUGAGGUGGCUUCUGUGGGGCCUCACGAGUCCAGGCCGUUGCAUCAGCUCAGUAUCUCGGUGGUUGAGAACAGCCAAGGGGUAAGCGACGUUGUUGAGAAAGAGAAGAGGACGCCUAAGGCUAACCAGUACUACCGCAAUUCGGACUUUGUUCUUGGAAAAGAGAAGUUCCCCCCUCCUGACAGCAACAAGAAGUCGAAAUCUAAUAGCAGUAAGAAACAUGGUGUAGUAGGAGAUGGAGAAUAUGGCUUUGUGAUGGACAAGCAUACGGCUCAGGCAUUCAAGAGUUGCAGCAAUCUGCUUGCGAAAUUGAUGAAGCACAAACAUGGUUGGGUAUUUAAUACCCCUGUGGACGUGAAGGGGCUUGGACUGCAUGACUAUUACAGCAUUAUUAAGCAUCCAAUGGACCUGGGAACCGUGAAGUCAAGGCUGAACAAGAAUUGGUACAAAUCUCCUAGGGAAUUCGCAGAAGAUGUUAGACUUACCUUCCGUAAUGCCAUGACUUAUAACCCGAAAGGGCAAGAUGUUCACAUUAUGGCGGAACAGUUGGCCAAGAUAUUUGAAGAGAAAUGGGCGGUUUUACAGGCCGAACAUAAUCUUGAUUCGAGGUAUGAGAUGGACCAUGAUAUGGGUCUACCUACCCCUACAUCAAGGAAGGUUCCUCCUUCCCUCCCUCCACCACUUACAGAUAUGAGGCGAACACUGGAUAGAUCAGAAUCUACUACACACCCCAUUGAUCCCAAGAUGAAGCCGGCUGCCUUCACCCCAACUGGUAGAACUCCUGCACCGAAGAAGCCAAAGGCAAAGGAUCCCUUUAAAAGGGACAUGACAUAUGAGGAGAAACAGCGACUCAGCACCAAUCUUCAGAGUUUGCCUUCAGAAAAGUUGGACAAUAUAGUUCAGAUUAUUAAGAAGAGGAAUUCAUCGCUCUGCCAGCAUGACGAUGAGAUUGAAGUGGACAUUGAUAGCGUUGAUGCAGAGACUCUAUGGGAACUUGAUAGGUUUGUGACCAACUACAAAAAGAGUUUGAGCAAGAAUAAACGGAAGGCUGAGAUUGCUGCUGAGCUUGCCAUGCAGGCAAGGCAAGAAGCUGAGCAGAAUGCAGCAGAAGUGAAUGCAGCCCCAGCUAUGGUGGAACCCUCAAAAGAAACUAAAGCAGAUGAAAAGAUCAUCUCCUCGGCCUCUCCUGUUCAAGCAGAAAAGCAAGGGGAUAAUGCUAGUAGAUCAAGUAGUUCAAGCAGUUCUAGUAGUGACUCUGGAUCCUCAUCAAGUGAUUCUGAUAGUGAAAGUUCAUCUGCCUUUGGAUCUGAUGCGGGGCAUUCACCGAGGACUUGAAUGGAUUCAUUUCAGAUACUUGGAGAUGGGAGAUGUAAGAUUUAAGAUAAAGAAUUGGUUAGUUCUGAUGAUUGUUGGAAUGUGACUGUCUGCUGGUUGUAUAUGAAUCAGGCAGUUUUCAAGACCUUUCGUGGUUCUACAAAAAGGAGUGUUUUUGUCAGUUACUGAAUUCAUAGAAAGGCGAUGAUUUUUAUGUGGGUUUUAUUCUUCCUAUCAGAUGGACCCUGUUGGUCUUAAAUCACAGGUUUCCCCAUCAAAAUUUGUAUGAUAUGGUGGUGAUUAGAGACCGUGUAGUAGUCACUGUAAAUUUCUAACCAAUGUUAUUGCUCGUCUGGAUGUUACUUGUUAGAAGUUUGUAAUAGUUUAUAUUUGCUGGUUUACUGUAAAAUUGGUUUUGUCUAAUUGCGAAUGGAGGAGUCCACCAACCACGGUCACUUGGAAGAGGCUGAAGAGUCUCAAAGAAGCAACAGUCGGGGAGGCCAAGCAUGCCGGCGUGGAUGUGUAUUGUUUAUUCAUACACAGAUAUAAGGAGUUGGGAGCUUGGGUGCCACGGUGGCCGAUGCAGCAGCUUCAUCUAGUAAUGACGUCUGAGCUUGAUUUUCUCUUGCAGCAGCUGUAGAUUACAUUCAUGCGUAUUUCUUUUCACUGGUUUUCACUCUAUAGAUCCAACUGUAAUUCAUAUAAAGGGCCUGUUGCUUGUUGCGGUUGCAUACAAGGUUAUUUGCUGCAUAGGUGGGGCAUUCAGAUGUGGUCAAUCCAAGAGAUCAAUUCAUUUGGGUGGUGUUUGAUACUGUGGUAAAUGUCUAUUUUGUUUGGUUUCGGAGUGCACCAUGGACCAUGGUAAAUACUCCCAUCUUUCAAGUUCCACAGUCCAGAAUACACCACCUUUUUAGGUCAUUCAAAUAAACAUUGAUUUAGUAUA